GCGCCGUCAUGGCCGGCGGAAUACGGCGGCACCGGCUGGAGCCUGUCGAAGCGGCGCGUGUUCCACCACGAGCUGGCGCU
rnacentral:tRNA from 1 species